rnacentral:lncRNA from 1 species
UCUCAUACACAUAGACACAAAGACACAUGCCCCCCACACACACCUACAUAUGUCUCAUACACAUAAACACAAAGACACAUGCCCACACAUACACACCUACAUAUGUCUCAUACACAUAGACACAAAGAUGCAUGCCCCCCACACACACCUACAUACACCUCAUACACAUAGACACAAAGACACAUGCCUCCAUGCCCCCCCCCACACACACA